UCCUCCUGAAAUGCCAUCUCUCCAUUUCCUGAGACUCUUGUAAAAGAGAUUUCAGCAGGGUCCUGUUCCACACCUCCAGCUUCUGCUGCCCCAUCCCGCUACCGGCACUGCUGAGAGAUCUACCACUGUUAAUUUACACCACCAAUUUCUUCAUCUGCAGAAUGAAGCUUUACGAAAAAAUUAAGCUUUUCUCAUUCAAACAUGAUUGUUUGUGCUACAGUACUUGCACUCCAACCCAAAGUGGAUUUUUUGGUAGUGUUGAAGAACUCUCACUUGAAUGUACUUUAAAUACCUAAACUGGGACCAACUAACAUCAUACAGACUGAUUAACACGCAGGACAAGGAGGCAAGACAUCACCUUAAGUUAACAGAGCAUACAGACAUAAUAUCUUGGGAAAGGCCAAGGCUCAGGAAGGCCUGGAGACAAAACACCAUGAAUCUGCUUUUGAGCUCUUCACUGAAGAAAUGAAAGGUCGUGAUCGCAAUCUCCACGUGGUGCUGCAUCCAAAGGAAAAGCUGUGUAUUUUUUAUUGUAGUUAUGCAAUGAAACCUUGUCUUUUAGCUGCAACCUGUAGCUUUUCAGAGUUUUUCACAUCAUCACGUCCCUACCACUCUGACUUGUAAUUAUUGUGGAGAUGAUUGUUUGACUUCAAAAGUCUUUUUAA